rnacentral:rRNA from 1 species
GAUGAACGCUGGCGGCGUGCCUAAUACAUGCAAGUCGAGCGAACAGACGAGGAGCUUGCUCCUCUGACGUUAGCGGCGGACGGGUGAGUAACACGUGGAUAACCUACCUAUAGGACUGGGAUAACUUCGGGAAACCGGAUCUAAUACCGGAUAAUAUAUUGAACCGCAGGGUUCAAUAGUGAAAGACGGUUUUGCUGUCACUUAUAGGUGGAUCCGCGCCGCAUUAGCUAGUUGGUAAGGUAACGGCUUACCAAGGCAACGAUGCGUAGCCGACCUGAGAGGGUGAUCGGCCACACUGGAACUGAGACACGGUCCAGACUCCUACGGGAGGCAGCAGUAGGGAAUCUUCCGCAAUGGGCGAAAGCCUGACGGAGCAACGCCGCGUGAGUGAUGAAGGUCUUCGGAUCGUAAAACUCUGUUAUUAGGGAAGAACAAAUGUGUAAGUAACUAUGCACGUCUUGACGGUACCUAAUCAGAAAGCCACGGCUAACUACGUG